rnacentral:misc_RNA from 1 species
GUGAGUCAUCGAAUCUUUGAACGCACAUUGCGCCCCUUGGUAUUCCAUGGGGCAUGCCUGUUCGAGCGUCAUCUACACCCUCAAGCUCUGCUUGGUGUUGGGCGUCUGUCCCGCCUUCGUGCGCGGACUCGCCCCAAAUUCAUUGGCAGCGGUCCUUGCCUCCUCUCGCGCAGCACAUUGCGCUUCUCGAGGUGCGCGGCCCGCGUCCACGAAGCAACAUUACCGUCUUUGACCUCGGAUCAGGUAGGGAUACCCGCUGAACUUAAGCAUAUCAAUAAGCGGAGGA